rnacentral:ncRNA from 1 species
UCAAGGCAUAGCCGCGCCUGUCCGGAAAAUCCGGGCAAACGGAGAAGCAGGUUGAAAUCACCUCACGGUCCCGCCACUGUACAGUCAGAUCGCCGGGCGCGGCAAAGCAAAA